UUAUAUUCUCCACUGGGGGGGAUGAGAACCCCCGACCGGGGUUCGACAACUGGUAACGCCAGUUGGACAGACCGCGAGCCUGCGAGCGGGCUGCCCCGCAGGGGCGAGCGAAGCGAGUCAAUCCCCCCCUCACCGCCA
rnacentral:sRNA from 1 species